UACAAACAUUCUCUUCUAUUUAUUUCUAGUUUAAGGAAUUAAGUGUGAUUGAGACAUGACGGCUUUAUGUUGUUUUUCUAUAUGCAAUUUCAUUAGGUGAUUCAAGACUUUAUUGUGCCGUUCAAUACUGAAACAUCUGCAUGAUUGCUUGGGCAGUAGGAGACAGCAUUUAAGCAGAAAGUCAUCAAAGAAGCAAAGUCUCUCACUUUGACAGCAGAAGUUCUAAGUUAUAUCAGUGCAAAAGAGAAACAACAGUCUGAAAAUGACUGUAACAGCAACAUUUCCUCUUUCUUGCUGCUGUUUUAUUUGUUACCACCUUCUGCAGAGAGGAACAAGGCUACAAUCAGUCGAACUGAGGCUGUUGACAGGCUUGUACAUUUACAUAAGCAUUUAAGAACAUUUCAGCAGGAGAGAAGGUCACCAACCAUACCUACUUAGAGUAGGACAAACCAAGAAGAGGAUCGACAGUUUUUAUGUGGUUGUGGACAAGCAGCUCAUCCCUUGUGCAGGAACCACCUCCCUGAGUGCCAUUGAUGAACUUUCAAAGUUCAUUACGUUUUUAAUGUCUCCUAUGAAGAAUCUCUAGCAAAUGUCUAGAGCAUUUUAUUUAAUGCUAUCCGUUUUAAAUGAUCACCACUAGCACUUAUUUAUUUUUUACACAAUUGCCAUGCAUGUUGAUGAGCUCAGUGUUACAGAGCAGUGUUUGCACAAAAGGAUUAAUAGCAGCUGUAACCUAUAUGUAAAUGUACAA